GUUUGAGCAUCAUGUUAGGCAUAUUUUGUGAUGCUUAUCAUGUGUUGAUUGUUUGUUUUCGAAUUGUUUCUUCUCGAUAGAGUUCUGAACCACUUUGCAGUGUGAGAAUUUGUUCGACUAUGUUGGUUCGUCUGGUUCAUGAAUUCGUUCUUCCUCCAAGCGGGAUCACAGGCAAGAUGAUCAUUUCCGUAGAUACCCUACUAUCAUUGCUAUGCUAGUUGUGUCCUUUCUAUCUCUAUGUCUCCCUGCCUACCACCUGUUAUGUCAAGCCUCCCAACAUUUCCAUGAAAAGACUC
rnacentral:lncRNA from 1 species